UGCACGGCUUUGAAGGCAUCAGGAAAUGAAGCACUGGAAGACAUCAGGCCCUGGCCUGAAACAUUACUUCAUAACUUGCAAGAUGGCUGAAGCAGGAGGCUCACUGCAAGAGAAUCAUGUGGAUGCAAUUCUUCAGGUUCAGGAAAUGGAAAGGAUGGCCUGUCAUGCUCCAUGUUUCUCUCAGUCCCCACUUCUAUGGCCAUACCAGAGAUGACUUUGCAGUAUGCAGCUUAGUAUGCAUCCAGCACAGACUUUUCUCCAGGUGUGUGAGUUAACGAUGAAUGCUUCAGCACUUCCCUGGCCAUGCAUAAACAUCUACAUGCAAAACAGCAAGGAGCGCUCUGUUUAUCACAGCUGCAGUCAAGCCAACGAAACUGUUUCUACCAUUGAAGAUGAAAUUGUAAAGUUCUAUCUCGAAAAUUAAAAUAAAAUAAACAUCUUAUUCA
rnacentral:lncRNA from 1 species